GAAGUUAUAGCUCAGUGGUAGAGCACAUGCUUAGCAUGCACGAGGUCCUGGAUUCAAUCCCCAGCACCCCCA
rnacentral:tRNA from 1 species